CCUACGGGAGGCAGCAGUGGGGAAUAUUGCACAAUGGGGGAAACCCUGAUGCAGCGACGCCGCGUGAGUGAAGAAGUAAUUCGUUACGUAAAGCUCUAUCAGCAGGGAAGAAAUACUGACCUUACGGUCAGCAGACGGUACCUGCAAAGGAAGCACCGGCUAACUCCGUGCCAGCAGCCGCGGUAAUACGGAGGGUGCGAGCGUUAAUCGGAAUUACUGGGCGUAAAGCGCUCGUAGGCGGUAUGUCAAGUCAAGGGUGAAAUCCCCGCGCUCAACGUGGGAACUGCCUUUGAAACUGGCAAACUGGAGUGUGUGAGAGGAUAGUGGAAUGCCAGGUGUAGGAGUGAAAUCCGUAGAUAUCUGGAGGAACAUCAGUGGCGAAGGCGACUAUCUGGCACAUAACUGACGCUGAGGAGCGAAAGCGUGGGUAGCAAACAGGAUUAGAUACCCUUGUAGUC
rnacentral:rRNA from 1 species